AGUGAACGCUGGCGGUAGGCCUAACACAUGCAAGUCGAACGGCAGCACAGUAAGAGCUUGCUCUUACGGGUGGCGAGUGGCGGACGGGUGAGGAAUACAUCGGAAUCUACUUUUUCGUGGGGGAUGACGUAGGGAAACUUACGCUAAUACCGCAUACGACCUACGGGUGAAAGCAGGGGAUCUUCGGACCUUGCGCGAUUGAAUGAGCCGAUGUCGGAUUAGCUAGUUGGCGGGGUAAAGGCCCACCAAGGCGACGAUCCGUAGCUGGUCUGAGAGGAUGAUCAGCCACACUGGAACUGAGACACGGUCCAGACUCCUACGGGAGGCAGCAGUGGGGAAUAUUGGACAAUGGGCGCAAGCCUGAUCCAGCCAUACCGCGUGGGUGAAGAAGGCCUUCGGGUUGUAAAGCCCUUUUGUUGGGAAAGAAAAGCAGCAGGUUAAUACCCCGCUGUUCUGACGGUACCCAAAGAGUAAGCACCGGCUAACUUCGUG
rnacentral:rRNA from 1 species